GUAAGGGGACCACUGGUAUCCAUUUAAUGCUUUACAGUUUACGAAUCGUGUUCUAUCGUUCAACCAUCUUGUGAGGGUAUCUUGAGUAGAAGAACACAACCAGCUUGAGCUUAUCCUGCUGAGGUGACCUCAAAGGAAGGGAUUUGGUGACGGAUUAGCAGCUGUCUUUGACAGGACCUCUCCAGAGUACAGAAGCUACCAAGUCCCCAACUCAUGGAGCAGCCAAGGGAUGUUGGGGAACAUCAUCUCCUAAGCUGACCAUGGUCACUGGGUAUAUCAGCGAGUGAGGAAAGGGAAGGAUC
rnacentral:lncRNA from 1 species